rnacentral:rRNA from 1 species
GCGUUGUCCGGAAUUAUUGGGCGUAAAGGGCUCGUAGGCGGUUCGUUACGUCGGGCGUGAAAACUCGGAGCUUAACUCCGAGCCUGCUUCCGAUACGGGCAGACUAGAGGUAGGCAGGGGAGAGCGGAACUCCUGGUGUAGCGGUGGAAUGCGCAGAUAUCAGGAAGAACACCCGUGGCGAAAGCGGCUCUCUGGAACGGUACUGACGCUGAGACGCGAAAGCGUGGGGAGCGAACAGG